GCCUAAAAUCUAGCCCACAUAAAUCCCAUGUAACCCUCAACCCACUGCCCCACAACAAAACAUUUUAACAUUUUAGUACAGGAGAUCAAAAAAUUCCUAGGCGCUUCAGAUAAAGUACCGCAAGGGAACGAUGAAAUAAAAAUGAAAUAAUUUUAAAGCCAUAAAUAGCAGAGAUCUCCCCUCGUACCUUUUGCAUCAUGGUCUAGCCAGUUUUAACAAGCAAAAAGAAAAUUUAAGUUUGUCACCCCGAAACUAAGCGAGCUACUUCAAAAUAGCCCCAAGGGGCCAACCCGUCUCUGUUGCAAAAGAGUGGGAAGAUUUUUAAGUAGAGGUGAUAAGCCUACCGAGCCUAGAGAUAGCUGGUUGUUCAGGAAAAGAGUCUUAGCUCUACCUUAAGUUUCUUUAUUAUACCAAAAAAUACCUUAAACUUAAGUGCUAUUCAAAUAAGGCACAGCUUAUUUGAAAAAGGAUACAACCUAUAAUACUGGGUAAAUAAGGGCAACCCAAACAAAGUGGGCCUAAAAGCAGCCACCUUUUAAAAAGCGUUACAGCUUAAUCAUCUUUACACCCCUAAUUAAUUUAGUCCCCCUCAACCCUUCAUCAAUACUGAACUGUUUUAUACUCUUAUAAAAGUCAUUAUGCUAGAACUAGUAACAAGAAUUUGCCCUUCUCCAAAAUGUAAGUAUAAGCCAAAACGGACUAUCCAUUGGCUCUUAACGUAAAUCCACACAAUAUAGUAACAAACAUCUAGAAAACCCUAUAAUCUUAAACGUUAACCUUACACCAGAACAUUUCAGGAAAGAUUAAAAGAGAAAGAAGGAACUCGGCAAACUUUAGCCCCGCCUGUUUACCAAAAACAUCGCCUCUUG
rnacentral:rRNA from 1 species